GGCCUAACACAUGCAAGUCGAGCGGAUGAGAGGAGCUUGCUCCUUGAUUCAGCGGCGGACGGGUGAGUAAUGCCUAGGAAUCUGCCUGUUAGUGGGGGAUAACGUUCCGAAAGGAACGCUAAUACCGCAUACGUCCUACGGGAGAAAGUGGGGGAUCUUCGGACCUCACGCUAACAGAUGAGCCUAGGUCGGAUUAGCUAGUAGGUGAGGUAAUGGCUCACCUAGGCGACGAUCCGUAGCUGGUCUGAGAGGAUGAUCAGCCACACUGGAACUGAGACACGGUCCAGACUCCUACGGGAGGCAGCAGUGGGGAAUAUUGGACAAUGGGCGAAAGCCUGAUCCAGCCAUGCCGCGUGUGUGAAGAAGGUCUUCGGAUUGUAAAGCACUUUAAGUUGGGAGGAAGGGCUCUUGGCUAAUACCCAGGAGUUUUGACGUUACCGGCAGAAUAAGCACCGGCUAACUCUGUGCCAGCAGCCGCGGUAAUACAGAGGGUGCAAGCGUUAAUCGGAAUUACUGGGCGUAAAGCGCGCGUAGGUGGUUUGUUAAGUUGGAUGUGAAAGCCCCGGGCUCAACCUGGGAAUUGCAUCCAAAACUGGCAGACUAGAGUACGGUAGAGGGUGGUGGAAUUUCCUGUGUAGCGGUGAAAUGCGUAGAUAUAGGAAGGAACACCAGUGGCGAAGGCGACCACCUGGACUGAUACUGACGCUGAGUGCGAAAGCGUGGGGAGCAAACAGGAUUAGAUACCCUGGUAGUCCACGCCG
rnacentral:rRNA from 1 species